rnacentral:rRNA from 1 species
CGAAGGGUGCAAGCGUUACUCGGAAUUACUGGGCGUAAAGCGUGCGUAGGCGGUUUGUUAAGUCUGUCGUGAAAGCCCCGGGCUCAACCUGGGAAUGGCGAUGGAUACUGGCGAGCUAGAGUACGGUAGAGGAGAGUGGAAUUCCCGGUGUAGCAGUGAAAUGCGUAGAGAUCGGGAGGAACAUCAGUUGCGAAGGCGGCUCUCUGGACCAGUACUGACGCUGAGGCACGAAAGCGUGGGGAGCAAACAGGAUUAGAUACCCUGGUAGUCCACGCCCUAAACGAUGCGAACUGGACGUUGGGAGCAAUUAGGCUCUCAGUGUCGAAGCUAACGCGUUAAGUUCGCCGCCCGGGGAGUACGGUCGCAAGACUG